rnacentral:lncRNA from 1 species
UGCUAAUCCCCGGCAACGGCGCCAAAAUUUGGUGUGAAAAUUUAACUAGCACUCAAAUUAACCCUCUUUUUAUCAAUUGUAGUAAGUAUGUAAGUAGGGAUCGUUCUAGGCCGGGGAUUAUGAGGGAUUGCUAAAUCACUUGAAAACUGACUCAAAAACGUAAAAACAAAGUUUAAAACACUAAACUAGACUCAAAGAAUGUAAAACUAUAACUUAAAACACCAACACAAACCAAAAGAC